UACGUAGGGCGCAAGCGUUGUCCGGAAUUAUUGGGCGUAAAGAGCUCGUAGGCGGUCUGUCGCGUCCGUUGUGAAAACUCGAGGCUCAACCUCGGGCUUGCAGUGGAUACGGGCAGACUAGAGUGCGGUAGGGGAGACUGGAAUUCCUGGUGUAGCGGUGGAAUGCGCAGAUAUCUGGAGGAACACCGGUGGCGAAGGCGGCAUCCUGGACCGGUAUUGACGCUGAGGCGCGAAAGCGUGGGGAGCAAACAGG
rnacentral:rRNA from 1 species